rnacentral:rRNA from 1 species
GAUGAACGCUGGCGGCGUGCCUAAUACAUGCAAGUCGAGCGAACAGACGAGGAGCUUGCUCCUCUGACGUUAGCGGCGGACGGGUGAGUAACACGUGGAUAACCUACCUAUAAGACUGGGAUAACCUCGGGAAACCGGCGCUAAUACCGGAUAAUAUAUUGAACCGCAUGGUGCAUUAGAGAAAGACGGUGUUGCUGUCACUUAUAGCUGGAUCCGCGCCGCAUUAGCUAGUUGGUAAGGUAACGGGUUAGCAAGGCAACGAUGCGUAGCCGACCGGAGAGGGUGAUCGGCCGCACGGGAGCUGGAACACGGUCCAGACUCCUACGGGACGCAGCAGUAGGGAAUCUUCCGCAGUGGGCGAAAGCCUUACGGAGCAACGCCGCGUGAGUGAUGAAGAUCUUCGGAUCGUAAAGCUCUGUUAUUAGGGAAGAACAAAUGUGUAAUUAACUAUGCACGUCUUGACGGUACCGAAUCAGGAAGCCACGGCUAACUACGUG